UACGUAGGGGGCAAGCGUUACCCGGAUUUACUGGGUGUAGAGGGGGCGCAGACGGCGAUGCAAGCCAGGAGUGAAAGCCCGGGGCCCAACCCCGGGACUGCUCUUGGAACUGCGUGGCUGGAGUGCAGGAGGGGCAGGCGGAAUUCCUGGUGUAGCGGUGAAAUGCGUAGAUAUCAGGAGGAACACCAGUGGCGAAGGCGGCUUGCUGGACGAUGACUGACGUUGAGGCUCGAAAGCGUGGGGAGCAAACAGG
rnacentral:rRNA from 1 species